rnacentral:misc_RNA from 1 species
AAGAACUGCAAGGUGAACAAAGAGAAAUAUCAAUUAAUAAGUGGCCAGAAAGAAGAUACCGUAAUGCUUUAUCAGGAAAACCAAAAAUCAACACUGUCAGAGAAGUAAUAAAACAAUACAAAAAAUCAACACAGUCAGAAAAGUAAUAAAACAAUCUUGAAAAGAUCUUGUUUCUUCUAAACCACAUUUUUAAGCAAAUUACUCACACUUUCCAAGCAAACAUGAAAUAAACAAAUAAAGCGUGGUGAAGUUCCAAUGUCAGCAGUUCUGUGAUAUUUAAUAACAGUUUCCUCAAAAUGUCUCCAUCGAAUAAGCGAAAGAACAAAGAUUUUUAGCUAUACAGAAAGAAAGCAAAAAACUAAAGACUAAACAGUAUUUGACAGCAUUGAAACAAGAUCCAGGAGAAGAAACGCACCGUUCCAGUGCCAG